UACGGGGGGGGCAAGCGUUGUUCGGAAUUAUUGGGCGUAAAGGGCGCGUAGGCGGUCAGACUAAGUCGAAUGUAAAAUACCAAGGCUUAACCUAGGCAGGUCGUUCGAUACUAGUCGACUAGAGUGUGGAAGGGGUUGCCGGAAUUCCUGGUGUAGCGGUGAAAUGCGUAGAUAUCAGGAGGAACACCGGAGGCGAAGGCGGGCAACUGGGCCAACACUGACGCUGAGGCGCGAAAGCUAGGGGAGCAAACAGGAUUAGAUACCCUGGUAGUCCUAGCCUUAAACGAUGAUGACUUGGUGUGUCGGGUUUUAAGUCCCGGCGUGCCGGAGCUAACGCGAUAAGUCAUCCGCCUGGGGAGUACGGUCGCAAGACUGAAACUCAAAGGAAUUAACGGGGACCCGCACAAGCGGUGGGGCAUGUGGUUUAAUUCGACGCAACGCGAAGAACCUUACCUGGGCUAGAAUGUGAGAGAAGACUCUGCAAAACGGAGUCGUCGAAGGGAAACCGGAGACUCGAAACAAGGUGCUGCACGGCUGUCGUCAGCUCGUGUCGUGAGAUGUUGGGUUAAGUCCCGCAACGAGCGCAACCCUUACUGCUAGUCGCUAACAGGAAAGCUGAGAACUCUAGUAGAACCGCUGAUGAUAAAUUGGAGGAAGGUGGGGACGACGUCAAGUCAUCAUGGCCUUUAUGCCCAGGGCUACACACGUGCUACAAUGGAUGGUACAAAGAGAAGCGAGACCGCGAGGUGGAGCCAAUCUCAUAAAAGCAUCCUCAGUUCGGAUUGUAGUCUGCAACUCGACUACAUGAAGUUGGAAUCGCUAGUAAUCGCAGAUCAGCAUGCUGCGGUGAAUACGUUCCCGGGUC
rnacentral:rRNA from 1 species